AGUGAACGCUGGCGGUAGGCCUAACACAUGCAAGUCGAACGGCAGCACAGUAAGAGCUUGCUCUUACGGGUGGCGAGUGGCGGACGGGUGAGGAAUACAUCGGAAUCUACUUUUUCGUGGGGGAUAACGUAGGGAAACUUACGCUAAUACCGCAUACGACCUACGGGUGAAAGCAGGGGAUCUUCGGACCUUGCGCGAUUGAAUGAGCCGAUGUCGGAUUAGCUAGUUGGCGGGGUAAAGGCCCACCAAGGCGACGAACCGUAGCUGGUCUGAGAGGAUGAUAAGCACCCCUGGAACUGAGAAACGGUCCAGACUCGUACGGGAGGCAGCAGUGGGAAAUAUUGGAAAAUGGGCGCAAGCCUGAUCCAGCCAUACCGCGUGGGUGAAGAAGGCCUUCGGGUUGUAAAGCCCUUUUGUUGGGAAAGAAAAGCAGCAGGUUAAUACCCCGCUGUUCUGACGGUACCAAAAGAAUAAGCACCGGCUAACUUCGU
rnacentral:rRNA from 1 species